rnacentral:rRNA from 1 species
UACGGGGGGUGCAAGCGUUAAUCGGAAUCACUGGGCGUAAAGGGUGCGUAGGCGGUUUGGUAAGACAGAUGUGAAAUCCCCGGGCUCAACCUGGGAAUGGCGGUGGAAACCGGUGUACUAGAGUAUGGGAGAGGGUGGUGGAAUUCCAGGUGUAGCGGUGAAAUGCGUAGAGAUCUGGAGGAACAUCAGUGGCGAAGGCGGCCACCUGGCCCAAUACUGACGCUGAGGCACGAAAGCGUGGGGAGCAAACAGG